rnacentral:rRNA from 1 species
UACAGAGGGGGCAAGCGUUAUUCGGAAUUCUUGGGCGUAAAGGGCGCGUAGGCGGCCUGGCAAGUGGAAGGUGAAAUCCCUCGGCUUAACCGAGGAACUGCCUCCCAAACUGCUUGGCUUGAGACCGGGAGAGGUGAGUGGAAUUCCCAGUGUAGCGGUGAAAUGCGUAGAUAUUGGGAGGAACACCAGUGGCGAAGGCGGCUCACUGGACCGGUACUGACGCUGAUGCGCGAAAGCGUGGGGAGCAAACGGG